GGGAUAGCUCAGUUGGUUAGAGCGCCAGAUUGUGGCUCUGGAGGCCGUGGGUUCGAAUCCCAUUCUU
rnacentral:tRNA from 1 species